GAUAAAGAUUGUAAAGAUAACUGUACUAUUUGUAAUCAAGAUGAUAACAACAACUGUUCUCAAUGUAUAUAUGGAAAAUAUUAUGGAACAGCAUGUAAUUACACGUGUAGUUUGAACUGUAAACACGGUUCCUGUUAUCAAGAAAACGGAGACUGUUCCGGUGGCUGUGUGGAGGGUAAAAUGGGAAUGGACUGCUCCAAAAAUAAAGAUACAGCUGAUGAAGAAGUUAGUCCAGUUGUAGGUGGUGUUAUUGGUGCUAUAUUUGGUAUAGUUGUUACAUUAGUAAUAUGUAUUACAGUAUAUUGCUAUAUAGUUAAAAGAAAUCAGUCGUCUAAACAAACCAGUGAAUCACGUGGUUAUAGAUAUAAUAAUCAGUCUACUAUAAAUACAUCAACAACAGGAGGAGAAAACUCUACAUCUGAUGAUAUUACUUAUGAUACUCUACAACAAGUUUCAAUUCAACAAGAUGAAGCAGCAAAUCAAUAUCAAACAUUAAAUCCAGAUCCU